rnacentral:rRNA from 1 species
AUGACGGUACCUGACUAAGAAGCACCGGCUAAAUACGUGCCAGCAGCCGCGGUAAUACGUAUGGUGCAAGCGUUAUCCGGAUUUACUGGGUGUAAAGGGAGCGUAGACGGCUGUGUAAGUCUGAAGUGAAAGCCCGGGGCUCAACCCCGGGACUGCUUUGGAAACUAUGCAGCUAGAGUGUCGGAGAGGUAAGUGGAAUUCCCAGUGUAGCGGUGAAAUGCGUAGAUAUUGGGAGGAACACCAGUGGCGAAGGCGGCUUACUGGACGAUGACUGACGUUGAGGCUCGAAAGCGUGGGGAGCAAACAGGAUUAGAUACCCUGGUAGUCCACGCCGUAAACGAUGACUACUAGGUGUCGGGUGUCACAGACAUUCGGUGCCGCAGCAAACGCAAUAAGUAGUCCACCUGGGGAGUACGUUCGCAAGAAUGAAACUCAAAGGAAUUGACGGGGACCCGCACAAGCGGUGGAGCAUGUAGUUUAAUUCGAAGCAACGCGAAGAACCUUACCUGGUCUUGACAUCCCUUUGACCGACGAGUAAUGUCGUCUUUCCUUCGGGACAGAGGAGACAGGUGGUGCAUGGUUGUCGUCAGCUCGUGUCGCGAGAUGUUGGGUUAAGUCCCGCAACGAGCGCAACCCUUAUCUUCAGUAGCCAGCAUUUAAGGUGGGCACUCUGGAGAGACUGCCAGGGAUAACCUGGAGGAAGGUGGGGAUGACGUCAAAUCAUCAUGCCCCUUAUGACCAGGGCUACACACGUGCUACAAUGGCGUAAACAAAGGGAGGCAGAGCCGCGAGGCCGAGCAAAUCCCAAAAAUAACGUCUCAGUUCGGAUUGUAGUCUGCAACUCGACUACAUGAAGCUGGAAUCGCUAGUAAUCGCGAAUCAGCAUGUCGCGGUGAAUACGUUCCCGGGUCUUGUACACACCGCCCGUCACACCAUGGGAGUUGGUAACGCCCGAAGUCAGUGACCCAACCGAAAGGAGGGAGCUGCCGAAGGUGGGACCGAUAACUGGGGUGAAGUCGUAACAAGGUAA